UAAGCGGAGGAAAAGAAACUAACAAGGAUUCCCCUAGUAGCGGCGAGCGAAGCGGGAAGAGCUCAAAUUUAUAAUCUGGCACCUUCGGUGUCCGAGUUGUAAUCUCUAGAAAUGUUUUCCGCGUUGGACCGCACACAAGUCUGUUGGAAUACAGCGGCAUAGUGGUGAGACCCCCGUAUAUGGUGCGGACGCCCAGCGCUUUGUGAUACAUUUUCGAAGAGUCGAGUUGUUUGGGAAUGCAGCUCAAAUUGGGUGGUAAAUUCCAUCUAAAGCUAAAUAUUGGCGAGAGACCGAUAGCGAACAAGUACCGUGAGGGAAAGAUGAAAAGCACUUUGGAAAGAGAGUUAACAGUACGUGAAAUUGUUGGAAGGGAAACGCUUGAAGUCAGACUUGCUUGCCGAGCAAUCGGUUUGCAGGCCAGCAUCAGUUUUCCGGGAUGGAUAAUGGUAGAGAGAAGGUAGCAGUUUCGGCUGUGUUAUAGCUCUCUGCUGGAUACAUCUUGGGGGACUGAGGAACGCAGUGUGCCUUUGGCGGGGGUUUCGACCUCUUCACACUUAGGAUGCUGGUGGAAUGGCUUUAAACGACCCGUCUUGAA
rnacentral:rRNA from 1 species